rnacentral:rRNA from 1 species
CUGGAGACAGGUGCUGCAUGGCUGUCGUCAGCUCGUGUCGUGAGAUGUUGGGUUAAGUCCCGCAACGAGCGCAACCCUUGCUUUAGUUGCCAGCAGUUCGGCUGGGCACUCUAAAGGGACUGCCGGUGUUAAGCCGGAGGAAGGUGGGGAUGACGUCAAGUCCUCAUGGCCUUUAUGACCAGGGCUACACACGUACUACAAUGGCCGAUACAAAGGGCAGCGACACUGCGAGGUGAAGCCAAUCCCGUAAAAUCGGUCUCAGUCCGGAUUGGAGUCUGCAACUCGACUCCAUGAAGUUGGAAUCGCUAGUAAUCGUGGAUCAGCAUGCCACGGUGAAUACGUUCCCGGGCCUU